rnacentral:rRNA from 1 species
UACGAAGGGGGCUAGCGUUGCUCGGAAUCACUGGGCGUAAAGGGCGCGUAGGCGGCGUUUUAAGUCGGGGGUGAAAGCCUGUGGCUCAACCACAGAAUGGCCUCGAUACUGGGACGCUUGAGACCGGAAGAGGACAGCGGAACUGCGAGUGUAGAGGUGAAAUUCGUAGAUAUUCGCAAGAACACCAGUGGCGAAGGCGGCUGUCUGGUCCGGUUCUGACGCUGAGGCGCGAAAGCGUGGGGAGCAAACAGG